GACGAACGCUGGCGGCAUGCCUAACACAUGCAAGUCGAACGGAGAUUAUUUCGGUAAUCUUAGUAGCGAACGGGUGAGUAACGCGUGGGCAACCUGCCCUCUAGAUGGGGACAACAUCCCGAAAGGGGUGCUAAUACCGAAUGUGACAGCAAUCUCGCAUGAGGAUGCUGUGAAAGAUGGCCUCUAUUUAUAAGCUAUCGCUAGAGGAUGGGCCUGCGUCUGAUUAGCUAGUUGGUGGGGUAACGGCCUACCAAGGCGAUGAUCAGUAGCCGGUCUGAGAGGAUGAACGGCCACAUUGGGACUGAGACACGGCCCAGACUCCUACGGGAGGCAGCAGUGGGGAAUCUUCCGCAAUGGGCGAAAGCCUGACGGAGCAAUGCCGCGUGAGUGAUGAAGGAAUUCGUUCCGUAAAGCUCUUUUGUUUAUGACGAAUGUGCAGAUUGUGAACAAUGAUCUGUAAUGACGGUAGUAAACGAAUAAGCCACGGCUAACUACGUG
rnacentral:rRNA from 1 species